rnacentral:rRNA from 1 species
UACGUAGGCAGCAAGCGUUGUUCGGAAUUACUGGGCGGAAAGAGUGUGUAGGCGGUGCUCUAAGUUUGGUGUGAAAUCUCCCGGCUCAACUGGGAGGGUGCGCCGAAAACUGGAAUGCUUGAACGUGGGAGAGGAAAGCGGAAUUCCUGGUGUAGCGGUGAAAUGCGUAGAUAUCAGGAGGAACACCUGCGGUGUAGACGGCUUUCUGGACCAUUGUUGACGCUGAGACACGAAAGCGUGGGUAGCAAACAGG